CCUACGGGAGGCAGCAGUGAGGAAUAUUGGUCAAUGGGCGCGAGCCUGAACCAGCCAAGUAGCGUGAAGGAUGACUGCCCUACGGGUUGUAAACUUCUUUUAAGGGGGAAGAGAAGAAGACGGUACCCCUUGAAUAAGCCACGGCUAACUACGGGCCAGCAGCCGCGGUAAUACGUAGGUGGCAAGCGUUUUCCGGAUUUACUGGGUGUAAAGGGCGGGCAGCCGGAGAGACAAGUCAGAGGUGAAAGCCACGGGCUCAACCCGUGAACUGCAUUUGAAACUGUUUCCCUUGAGUGUCGGAGAGGUAAUCGGAAUUCCUUGUGUAGCGGUGAAAUGCGUAGAUAUAAGGAAGAACACCAGUGGCGAAGGCGGAUUACUGGACGAUAACUGACGGUGAGGCGCGAAAGCGUGGGGAGCAAACAGGAUUAGAUACCCUGGUAGUC
rnacentral:rRNA from 1 species